GAUAGGAGUGCAGACAACAUAGAGAAGUACAAGAUGGCGAAGAAGGCCGCAAAGCGAGCUGUUGGUGAAGCAAGGGGUCGGGCAUAUGAGGACCUCUACCAACGGUUAGGCACGAAGGAAGGUGACAGGGACAUCUAUAAGAUGGCUAAGAUCCGGGAGAGGAAGACGAGGGAUAUUGGCCAAGUCAAAUGCAUCAAGGACGGAGCAGGCCAACUCUUGGUGAAGGACGAGGAGAUUAAGCAUAGAUGGCGGGAGUACUUCGACAAGCUGUUCAAUGGGGAGAAUGAGAGUUCUACCAUUGAACUGGACGACUCCUUUGAUGAGACCAGCAUGCGUUUUGUGCGGCGCAUCCAGGAGUCUGAGGUGAAGGAGGCUUUAAAAAGGAUGAAAGGAGGCAAGGCGAUGGGCCCUGAUUGUAUCCCCAUUGAGGUGUGGAAAGGUCUCGGGGACAUAGCGAUAGUAUGGCUAACCAAGCUUUUCAACCUCAUUUUUCGGGCAAACAAGAUGCCAGAAGAAUGGAGACGGAGUAUAUUAGUACCAAUCUUCAAGAACAAGGGGGAUGUUCAGAGUUGUACUAAUUACCGUGGAAUUAAGCUGAUGAGCCAUACAAUGAAGCUAUGGGAGAGAGUCAUUGAGCACCGCUUAAGAAGAAUGACAAGCGUGACCAAAAAUCAGUUUGGUUUCAUGCCUGGGAGGUCGACCAUGGAAGCCAUUUUCUUGGUACGACAACUUAUGGAGAGAUAUAGGGAGCAAAAGAAGGACUUGCAUAUGGUGUUCAUUGACUUGGAGAAGGCCUAUGAUAAGAUACCGCGGAAUGUCAUGUGGUGGGCCUUGGAGAAACACAAAGUUCUAGCAAAGUACAUUACCCUCAUCAAGGACAUGUACGAUAAUGUUGUGACAAGUGUUCGAACAAGUGAUGUCGACACCGAUGACUUCCCGAUUAAGAUAGGACUGCAUCAGGGGUCAGCUUUGAGCCCUUAUCUUUUUGCAUUGGUGAUGGAUGAGGUCACAAGGGAUAUACAAGGAGAUAUCCCAUGGUGUAUGCUCUUUGUGGAUGAUGUGGUGCUAGUUGACGAUAGUCGGAGGGGGGUAAAUGGGAAGUUAGAGUUAUGGAGACAAACCAUGGAAUUGAAAGGGUUUAGGCUUAGU
rnacentral:rRNA from 1 species